rnacentral:lncRNA from 1 species
CAGCUCCGUCAGUCGGCGUCAUUCGGUGUCGGGCAAUUGAGACCCGACCCAAACUUUCCUGUCGGGAUUUUCUCCUAUCGGGAUUGCCUCGAGCUGCUCGGCCGGCGAACCCCGUUCUUCCCCCUCCCGUUGGUCCAGCUUGUCGAUUGUCAGAGGAUCCUUCGACUCGUUGCUUUGAGCGGAGAUUUGGAAGCAUCGUCGGGCGAGCUGUUGAUCUCCGCGCAUCUCCCCGACUCCGUUUUUGGUCGAAAAUCGAACAAGGAGAUGGUACGUCGAGAC